UUUUUGAUUUCUCGCACAAGUUUAAAUUAUCCCGCGCAAAAUACAAGAUUGAAUUGCAAGUUGCUUGGUUUCAUCUGUGACCUGGACACGUAAGAGUAAUUAUUAACACCCGACAGCCAAUUGAAUAAUGAUCACCUACGUGGUGUAAAAGGUGUAAAA